GAAUCAAGGGCGUGGCGGCGUGCCUCAGACAUGCAAGUCGAACGCGAAAGCCCCCUUCGGGGGGCAAGUAGAGUGGCGCACGGGUGAGUAACACGUAGGUAAUCUACCUUUGGAUGGGGAAUAACAACCGGAAACGGUUGCUAAUACCGCAUAAUGCAGCGGCACCUAAUGGUGACAGUUGUUAAAGCGGGGGAUCGCAAGACCUCGCGUCUGAAGAGGAGCCUGCGGCGGAUUAGCUAGUUGGUAAGGUAACGGCUUACCAAGGCUAUGAUCCGUAGCCGGCCUGAGAGGGCGGUCGGCCACACUGACACUGACAUACGGGUCAGACUCCUACGGGAGGCAGCAGUCGGGAAUUUUGGGCAAUGGGCGAAAGCCUGACCCAGCAACGCCGCGUGAAGGAUGAAAUCCUUCGGGAUGUAAACUUCGCAAGAACAGGAAGAAUAAGUGAGAGUUAAUAUCUCUUACGAUGACGGUACUGUUUGUAAGCUCCGGCUAACUCCGUGCCAGCAGCCGCGGUAAUACGGGGGGAGCAAGCGUUGUUCGGAUUUACUGGGCGUAAAGGGCGCGUAGGCGGCCUGGCAAGUCGAGUGUGAAAUCCCUUGGCUUAACUGAGGAAUGGCGCUCGAAACUACCUCGCUGGAGGGCGGGAGAGGGAAGUGGAACUCUCGGUGUAGCGGUGAAAUGCGUAGAUAUCGGAAGGAACAUCGGUGGCGAAGGCGACUUUCUGGACAGAUACUGACACUGAGGCACGAAAGCAUGGGGAGCAAACAGGAUUAGAUACCCUGGUAGUCCAUGCUGUAAACGAUGAAGGCUGGCUGUUGGGUACCUACGGGUACUUAGUAGCGAAGCUAACGCGUUAAGUCUUCCGCCUGGGGAGUACGGCCGCAAGGUUAAAACUCAAAGGAAUUGACGGGGGCCCGCACAAGCGGUGGAGCAUGUGGUUUAAUUCGACGCAACGCGAAGAACCUUACCUACCCUUGACAUCCUCGGAACCUGCUAGAGAUAGUGGGGUGCCUUCGGGAGCCGAGAGACAGGUGCUGCAUGGCUGUCGUCAGCUCGUGUCGUGAGAUGUUGGGUUAAGUCCCGUAACGAGCGCAACCCUUGUCCUUAGUUGCCAACAGGUAAAGCUGGGAACUCUAGGGAGACUGCCGGUGAUAAGCCGGAGGAAGGUGGGGAUGACGUCAAGUCCUCAUGGCCCUUACGGGUAGGGCCACACACGUGCUACAAUGGACGGUACAAAGGGAAGCGAAGCAGCGAUGUGAAGCGGAUCUUAGAAAGCCGUUCGUAGUCCGGAUUGGAGUCUGCAACUCGACUCCAUGAAGUUGGAAUCGCUAGUAAUCGUGGAUCAGAACGCCACGGUGAUACAAUCCCGGGAGUCACACACC
rnacentral:rRNA from 1 species